GCGUAAUAGCUCACUGGUCGAGAGGUCCUGCGCCGAAAAUGUCCGGGGCUGAAACGCGCCACCGAAACUAAGGAACCGAAAGGUUGGUAGAGGAGCAUUGCAUGCGGGAAGAAGCAGUACCGGAAGGAGCUGUGGACUGCAUGGAAGAGAGAAUGCCGGAAUGAGUAGCGAGAUAGAGGUGGGAAUCCUCUAGGCCGAAUAUCCAAGGUUUCCAGGGUAAAGCUGAUCUGCCCUGGGUGAGUCGGGACCUAAGGUGAGGGCGAGAGCCGUAGCCGAUGGACAACAGGUUGAUAUUCCUGUACUGCAGUAUGACAGAACUGUGGGGACACGUAAGGAGAGCGGGAGCCGGGAAUGGAAAGCCCGGUACAAGCGAGGUACCAGUAUGGUAGGAAAAUCCGCCAUGCAAUGGGAAGACGUGAUGUGGAGUGAAUUUUAGUAACGAAGCCCGUGAGCCAUGCGUCAAGAAAAGCCGCUAUCGUUCAUAUUGUACCCGUACCGUAAACCGACACAGGUGGAUGAGGAGAGAAUCCUAAGGCCGGCGGAAGAAGCAUUGUUAAGGAAUUCGGCAAAAUGACCCCGUAACUUCGGGAGAAGGGGUGCCUGCGAGAGCAGGCCGCAGAGAAUAGGCUCAAGCAACUGUUUAGCAAAAACACAGGUCUAUGCGAAACCGAAAGGUGAGGUAUAUGGGCUGACGCCUGCCCGGUGCUGGAAGGUUAAGAGGAGAGGUUAGCGAAAGCGAAGCUUUGAAUUUAAGCCCCAGUAAACGGCGGCCGUAACUAUAACGGUCCUAAGGUAGCGAAAUUCCUUGUCGGGUAAGUUCCGACCCGCACGAAAGGCGUAAUGAUUUGAGCGCUGUCUCGGCAAUACAUCCGGUGAAAUUGAAGUGCCAGUGAAGAUGCUGGCUACCCGCGCCAGGACGGAAAGACCCCAUGGAGCUUUACUCCAGUUUGGCACUGGGGUCCGGUGUUGCAUGUACAGGAUAGGUGGGAGGCUGAGAGAUAGUGACGUCAGUUGCUAUGGAGCCGCUGUUGGGAUACCACCCUUGUGAUAUUGGGCUUCUAACCAGCCGCCGUAAUCCGGCGGUGGGACAAUGCCAGGCGGGGAGUUUGACUGGGGCGGUCGCCUCCGAAAGGGUAUCGGAGGCGCCCAAAGGUUCCCUCAGAAUGGACGGAAACCAUUCGAAGAGUGCAAAGGCAGAAGGGAGCUUGACUGCGACACCGACGG
rnacentral:rRNA from 1 species